rnacentral:rRNA from 1 species
GACGAACGCUGGCGGCGUGCCUAAUACAUGCAAGUCGAGCGGACAGAUGGGAGCUACAUUGGAUGUCCCUGAUGUUAGCGGCGGACGGGUGAGUAACACGUGGGUAACCUGCCUGUAAGACUGGGAUAACUCCGGGAAACCGGGGCUAAUACCGGAUGGUUGUUUGAACCGCAUGGUUCAAACAUAAAAGGUGGCUUCGGCUACCACUUACAGAUGGACCCGCGGCGCAUUAGCUAGUUGGUGAGGUAACGGCUCACCAAGGCAACGAUGCGUAGCCGACCUGAGAGGGUGAUCGGCCACACUGGGACUGAGACACGGCCCAGACUCCUACGGGAGGCAGCAGUAGGGAAUCUUCCGCAAUGGACGAAAGUCUGACGGAGCAACGCCGCGUGAGUGAUGAAGGUUUUCGGAUCGUAAAGCUCCGUGAGACUGUUGUUAGGGAAGAACAAGUACCGUUCGAAUAGGGCGGUACCUUGACGGUACCUAACCAGAAAGCCACGGCUAACUACGUGCCAGCAGCCGCGGUAAUACGUAGGUGGCAAGCGUUGUCCGGAAUUAUUGGGCGUAAAGGGCUCGCAGGCGGUUUCUUAAGUCUGAUGUGAAAGCCCCCGGCUCAACCGGGGAGGGUCAUUGGAAACUGGGGAACUUGAGUGCAGAAGAGGAGAGUGGAAUUCCACGUGUAGCGGUGAAAUGCGUAGAGAUGUGGAGGAACACCAGUGGCGAAGGCGACUCUCUGGUCUGUAACUGACGCUGAGGAGCGAAAGCGUGGGGAGCGAACAGGAUUAGACUACCCUGGUAGUCCACGCCGUAAACGAUGAGUGCUAAGUGUUAGGGGGUUUCCGCCCCUUAGUGCUGCAGCUAACGCAUUAAGCACUCCGCCUGGGGAGUACGGUCGCAAGACUGAAACUCAAAGGAAUUGACGGGGGCCCGCACAAGCGGUGGAGCAUGUGGUUUAAUUCGAAGCAACGCGAAGAACCUUACCAGGUCUUGACAUCCUCUAAUUCGCGCGACAAUCUAGAGAUAGGACGUCCCCUUCGGGGGCAGAGUGACAGGUGGUGCAUGGUUGUCGUCAGCUCGUGUCGUGAGAUGUUGGGUUAAGUCCCGCAACGAGCGCAACCCUUGAUCUUAGUUGCCAGCAUUCAGUUGGGCACUCUAAGGUGACUGCCGGUGACAAACCGGAGGAAGGUGGGGAUGACGUCAAAUCAUCAUGCCCCUUAUGACCUGGGCUACACACGUGCUACAAUGGACAGAACAAAGGGCAGCGAAACCGCGAGGUUAAGCCAAUCCCACAAAUCUGUUCUCAGUUCGGAUCGCAGUCUGCAACUCGACUGCGUGAAGCUGGAAUCGCUAGUAAUCGCGGAUCAGCUUAUGCCGCGGUGAAUACGUUCCCGGGCCUUGUACACACCGCCCGUCACACCACGAGAGUUUGUAACACCCGAAAGUCGGUGAGGUAACCUUUUAGGAGCCAGCCGCCGAAGGUGGGACAGAUGAUUGGGGUGAAG